rnacentral:rRNA from 1 species
CCAUACCGCCAUACCACCCUGAAAGCGCCCGAUCUCGUCUGAUCUCAGAAGCUAAGCAGGGUCGGGCCUGGUUAGUACUUGGAUGGGAGGAGGGAAAACUGAACUCAAUACAAU